GGAAAGCCCUCUGACCUCAUAUUUGGUCCCAUUCAAAGUCCAUAAAAUUCUUUAUUAUUGUGGCGAUGGUAUUCACUGUGGCAGCCUUUUCUGGACGAUUAUAUCUUCAGCCUUUCCUUGUAUUGUCAUUCCUCUCUUCGACAUCAGUAAGGUGCCUGAAAUUUUAUUUUUAUUUGUUUUCCCCUUUAGUGUUUAUUUUUUAUUCAAAAUUUUGUUGUGCAUAUAGCAUGAAUUUUUAACUGGUCCCUUGAAUAAUAUUCCCCAUCUCUUUCAUUAAACAGUUUCAGUUAUCAGUUAUUUUAUCCAUCAAAUUUUUUACACAAUUCUACUUUUUAAAAUUUCCAUCAAAUCCAAAUUUCUUUUUCAACUGUGGCAAGUAUUAUACUGUAUAUAUUAUUAUAGUAGACUGAGAAUGUCUUUUAGACAUGUAUUUCGAAUCACCUUCAAGGUUUUCACCGUUAGUGUUCUUUAAUUUGCUUCACUACGAGGAUUGAGAUCAACGAUCAGUCACAGCGUUCACAGAGAUCAUCGACCGUGCCAAGCUUCUACAGGAACUAGUUCCCUGCGGACACAGGUGUCUCUGUAAACCAACCUCUUAAUUUUGAUCUCAAUCAGACAGACAACACAAAAAGUCUCUGAGACUUCCUCUAAGAAGUUGAAAUUCCCUUAGAGACCGACAAACAAUAACACUUAUUUAUAUAGUCUGAUUUACUUCAACUGAUCACAGAGUUUACGUUAACACUGUUAGGUUUCCACUCUGCCGCUGCUUCAAUCAGACAAACUAUCAUUAAUCUAUUUUAUGAGGACCCGGUCCUCUUUUACCUCGUGACCCCGUCACGGAACUUUUCUGAAGACCCAGUCUUCUUUUACCUCGUGAGCCACUAACGGAAUUUAAGAUACCUUAGGAUUUACUCUUUUCAUACUCGCCUGAUCUGUGUCCUGGCCCUGGUUCAGGAUCCCGUCACCUCGCCUCGUCGGACCACCAGCCAGCGUCUGACCUGGGCAGGAAUUCACCUCCCAGGAUUUUCUGCAGGUUCCAAACCUGGCUGUGCACAGACUUCAGUCGCCGAUUCGAUGUCCCGGCAAAGCGAGGAUCUUGGGAUCCCAGGCGAGCCCCCAAUUAUGUUAGGGAAAUUGUUAGUUCCCUUUGUAAAUCUUAAAUAAAGCAGACACAAUCAGUUGAGACCUUCUUCA
rnacentral:lncRNA from 1 species